rnacentral:rRNA from 1 species
AACGCUAGCUACAGGCUUAACACAUGCAAGUCGAGGGGCAGCAUGAACUUAGCUUGCUAAGUUCGAUGGCGACCGGCGCACGGGUGAGUAACGCGUAUCCAACCUUCCGUACACUCAGGAAUAGCCUUUCGAAAGAAAGAUUAAUACCUGAUGGUAUGAUGAGAUUGCAUGAAAUCAUCAUUAAAGAUUCAUCGGUGUACGAUGGGGAUGCGUUCCAUUAGAUAGUAGGCGGGGUAACGGCCCACCUAGUCGACGAUGGAUAGGGGUUCUGAGAGGAAGGUCCCCCACAUUGGAACUGAGACACGGUCCAAACUCCUACGGGAGGCAGCAGUGAGGAAUAUUGGUCAAUGGGCGCGAGCCUGAACCAGCCAAGUAGCGUGAAGGAUGAAGGUCCUACGGAUUGUAAACUUCUUUUAUAAGGGAAUAAAGUCACCUACGUGUAGGUGUUUGUAUGUACCUUAUGAAUAAGCAUCGGCUAACUCCGUGCCAGCAGCCGCGGUAAUACGGAGGAUGCGAGCGUUAUCCGGAUUUAUUGGGUUUAAAGGGAGCGUAGACGGGUCGUUAAGUCAGCUGUGAAAGUUUGAGGCUCAACCUUAAAAUUGCAGUUGAUACUGGCGUCCUUGAGUACGGUUGAGGCAGGCGGAAUUCGUGGUGUAGCGGUGAAAUGCUUAGAUAUCACGAAGAACUCCGAUUG